rnacentral:piRNA from 1 species
UGAAAGAAAAGCUGGGGAUGGAUG